GACGAACGCUGGCGGCGUGCCUAAUACAUGCAAGUCGAGCGGAUGGAAGGAAGCUUGCUUCCUAAAGUCAGCGGCGGACGGGUGAGUAACACGUGGGCAACCUGCCCCUAAGAUCGGGAUAACUUCGGGAAACCGGAGCUAAUACCGGAUAUGAUUAUGUCUCACAUGAGACAUAAUGGAAAGACGGUUUCGGCCGUCACUUAGGGAUGGGCCCGCGGCGCAUUAGCUAGUUGGUGAGGUAACGGCUCACCAAGGCGACGAUGCGUAGCCGACCUGGGAGGGUGAUCGGCCACACUGGGACUGAGACGCGGCCCAGACUCCUACGGGAGGCAGCAGUAGGGAAUCUUCCGCAAUGGACGAAAGUCUGACGGAGCAACGCCGCGUGAGUGAAGAAGGUUUUCGGAUCGUAAAACUCUGUUGUUAGGGAAGAACAAGUACCAUAGUAACUGAUGGUACCUUGACGGUACCUAACCAGAAAGCCACGGCUAACUACGUGCCAGCCGCCGCCGUAA
rnacentral:rRNA from 1 species